CAACGGCGACUUCCUGCCGUACGCCUACACCACCGGAGCCCGAGGUCAAAGACCCGUCCCAGCAGCCCUACCGGUUCGAGUCGGUGCUCAACAACGGACUCGACGAUCUCAAGUCGUGGAGGGUUUGUGGGGUUUACUAACAAUGAGUACUUGGUCUCUGCCUCCAAUACCGGUUUGGCCGACGGGGGUAGCAUUCCUGGGAGUGUGGGAAACGGCACCGUCUUUGCUGGGUAUCCGAUGACCGAUCUGAAAACGGCGGUUAAGACGGCGGGGGACUUGACCCAGAUGCAGGUUCAGGUCAAAUUGACCGGGACCCAGUUCGGUGUGGCCCCACCCAAAGUUCCCAUGCCUUCCAAUCUUACUUUGGCCAAUGAUGGGUUCGUCUGCCCAGCGGCUGCAAUGCAAGGUGAGCUCUUAAACUUCAUUUGGGUAAUUUGGAUUUGUUUUCUUUUGGUACAUUUUUUGGAUGUUGCUGUUUGAUGGUCUUUGAUCUGGAGUAAGCAGAUCUAAUUUAACUGUUGUGAAGUGAAUACUUUUCAUAGCCGCAGAUCUAAUUUAGGUGUUGAGAAUUGAGUUUUUAUUAUUUUUAUUAUUUUUUUUCUUUUGAGAAACGUGAAUUGAAUACUUUUGAUGGCUUAUAUAUAUGAAGUAUCCAAUCAUGUUUUGAAUGUUUAUUCUAUAACAGUAUAGAAUCAGUUGAAUUUGAUGAGAGAAUGCUUGGUAUUUGGAUUGUGUAUAGUGGUUUAUUGAACAAUUUAAUUCAGUACGAGGUGGACCGUAUGAGUCUCAUUAGGAUAUGCAUCUGUAUGCAAACUGCCUCAAAGCUGUUGACUUGCCUUCAGUCACUAGGAGCUUUGUUAGUCUUGGGGUCGUCGUAGUUACAACAGAGAACAAGAUGUCUUCCAUGUUAGUUUUUUCGUUUUUGGAAGACAAUGGUAGUGGAUAUAUGCGAGGAAAAGAUAUACAGAGAAAAAAAUGCUAUAACAUUAGGGUAUAUCUUUCGUUUUUCUUUUGGUUGUACUGAGAUCAUUGGUUUCCAUGUUUCCUUCAUAUUAUUAGACAGUCGGUUUAAGGAUAUUCUUUUAUGUAGACCAACUUGUUUAUAAUAACAAGAUUUUACCACGGUAACAUACAUUUGAGUUUUUACCGUAAGUUGGGUUUUCAUUUUCGACUUUUAUAACCCAUGUUAAUCAGCACACUCUUACACUGCUCUGGUAAUGUUGGGACCCAUGAAAUGCAAGUGUCUGUUGCACUGUAGACACAAAAUUUAAAACAAACAUCACCAUGGAUGAAGAGUUCCUCCCUCGUCAAAAAGUAGAUCUUACAAUUAUGUAUGAUGCAAUCAGAUUGCCCAUCUAACUUGCCACCAAUGUGAAACACAGCUCAUUUCAACGCAUCAUUAUAAAUGGUUCAGGGUCUAAAGCCGCAAGUGGCGCUUUGGAACUGAUGGUUAAAGAUAAUGUCAAUUUCACUGUGGCAUUUACUGCCUGCAAGAUUGCUAACGGGAGCAUUGUUGGACACUUGUGCAGGGGGUGCUAUUGGUUUGACAUUUGAGCUCGGAUGGAAUUGAAUUGCUUCUUGAAGCAAAUGUUCUCGACUUGCAUUGGGUAUACUAUGAAUUGCUUACAAAAUUGUAAGAACAAUGCGUGUUCCUUAUCUAUAAAAUUGAAUCUGUGUUAGCACAUGCGAUUAGGAAUUAGGCAGAGUAAAUAAGUGAUUUUGGGUUGAUUUAAUUUCAUUACUAUUGUUAUUUGUAGAAAUUAACCGAGCCUUGUUUUUUUUUUUCCUUGUGUCAGGGGCAUGGGAAAAGGAACAAGUGACCCAUUGGUUCUAUGUCACCCUUUCAUUGAGCCGAAUGGGGGUUUCUAUACGUAGAAGGUUACUUUUAAAACCAAAUGGGUAGUUUCGUUGGCUUUCAAAGGAGGACAAAAAGUCACAGUACUCCCAAUUUUUUCUUAAUCGGUUGAAGGUAUGAGAAGUUUUGUGGUUAAUGGUGCACUGUUUCAUAUAUGUUUGACAAGGAAGGAAGUCUUGGAAAACUUCGUGGUAAUUAAACCCCCGACCACGAAGUUCUCCAAGUCUUCCUUUCUUGUCAAACAUACAUGAAACAAUGUACCAUUAACCACAAAGUUUCUUACAUCUUCAACUGAUCGAGCAAAAAUUGGGAGAACUGUGACUCUUUGUGCUCCUUCGAAAACCAACGAAACAACCCAUUUGGUUUUAAAGGUGACCUUCUGUGUGUAGAAACCUCCCAUCAGCUCAAUGAGAGGGUGGCCUAGAGCCACCAAUGAGUCACUCAUUCCCUUCCCUAUGUCCUGUCACAGAAAAAAAACAUAAGUUCGGUUAACUUCUACAAAUAACAAUAGUAAUGAAAUUAAAGCAACCCAAAAUUACUCUGCCCAAUUCAUGAUCGCGUGUGCUAACACAAAUUUAAUUUUAUAAAUAAGGAACACACUUUGUUCUUGCAAUUUUGUGAGCAACUCAUGGUAUACCCAAUGCAGGUUGAGGACAUUUGCUUCAAAAAGCAAUUCAAUCUCAUCCGAGUUCAAAUGUCGAACCAAUAGCACCCCUCAUGUAUAAGUGUCCAACAAUGCUUCCAUUAAGAGGGUAAUCUUACAUGCAGUAAAUGCUACAUUGACAUUAUCUUUAACCAUCAGUUCCAAAACGCCACUUGCGGCUUGAGACCCUAAACGAUUUAUAAUGAUGUGUUGAAAUGAGCUAAGUUAGAUGGACAAAGGGAAAUUAAUGAUGUUGUGUUGAAAUGGUGGGAAUACAUUUGGUUCAGUAGGGGACACUCGUGGUUAAUUAGUUGCUAAUAACUAUGUAUACUGAGUGAGCUAUGUUAAAAUUAGCAGAGUCGUUGUUGGGCUUAACUUGUACACACAGGUUCAUAUGUGGAAAGAUGACAUUUGUGGUGGCGCAGACACAAACAAGAUGCAAAAUCCACGUGGUGUGCAUGGUUUUUUACUAGUAUUCAGCCAAAUAUAUUUAGUACACCAAAUACUAUUGCAUUGGAGGAUGAUUUCCCCAUCCUUGCUAUCUUAUCUACUUGGUAAGCAUCUGUAAUGUAACAGUAAUUUUUUGCCCAGAAAUGAGACUCAUAACACCAAAAACAUCAUUCUUUUGCACAAAGUAAGAAUCAUGGUUGCAAACAACAAUCAUGAUUUUGUUGAACGAGUGUCGUAUUCUAAAACGACCUCUAAAUUACGUAUUAGGGAAUGCAUUGAUAUAGACAAAAUAAUUGUCCAAGUGAUCAUUACCUCAUCGUUGCCUGCUUCUAUCAAUGUUUGCAGAAUGCUUGGGCCUGAAGAUUUCAACCACAUCUUGGAUGACUCGACGGGAAUGUGAGGUUCUUUGGUUUCUUGCUUCGUCAUCUCACUUUCUACACUCAUCUUCCUCUUCCAUCUCAUUCUCCCUCCUAGAGAUUGAACAUUUAUUCCCCUUCCUUAAACAAUUCUUUCUUUUGCUCAUCGAUUUCCCACAUCCUUGAAGAAGACAUUGUAAGAAGGAAAUAAAAACUAAGGAUAAAGAUUUUGAGAGAUUUUGAUUUUGGUAUGUGAUUUCUUAGGAUGGAUGGUGGGUUAUAUGGAGAAAAAAGAAAUGAUUAGGUUGUAGUUAAUGUCACGCGGCACGUCGUGAUUUGUUUAAAAAUCUUAUCGAAAUCUAUCCUCAAAGAUUCUAAACAGAUUGUGACACGUAGCGCGAUGAGAUUUGUCAAAAAUCUUAUUGGAAAUCUAUUGUCAACUAUUCUAAAAAGGUAAUGACACGUGACACGAUGAAGUUGGAUAAAAAGCUUAUCGAAAUCUAUCACAACAAAUUGUACUUUCGUAUAAUGACACGUGACGUAACGAGACCGAUUAAAAAUCAUAUCCAAAAUUACAAAUAAAAUUAUUUUUUUAUUAUUUUAUAAAAUAAAAAAUACUAAUAUGUUGUUGCUUAUUGUCAUGGCUAUUCAGUAUGGGGGUGGAGAUGCAAAAGGUAAUUACUGUUCAUUAAAGGCAGUUAUUAUUCUAUGGAAGGGGAUUCAAUUGCCAAUUGUCAUGGGGGUCUUCCUACAUUGGAAGUGCUCUAAGAGCAUUUUCAAUGGAGAUGUCAAAAGAUAAAUGUUAAUUUGAUGAUUGACGUGACAAUGUUAGAUUAUCUCUUUUUCCAAUCGAUAUGUUUUUUUUGUUAUAAAUGAUAUUUGAUGGACUCAUUUUAAAAAAGAACUCACUUAAAAUAAAAUUUCAAGAUCUAUAAUUGGUGCAUUAAUGAGAUUCACAUAAUAAAAUAAUUAAAAAUUAUUUGACAUCACAUUUCUCAUAUGUCAAUUCACAGAAGAUUAACAUAUUAGUUGGAGCUUACUCAUGUCCUUAAUUUUGAUUACAUAACAAUCCACUUAGGAUUUGACAUCUCCUUUUAAGAUGGUCUAAAUCAUAGCCUUCUAUUUUUUGCAAUCGACAAAUCUCUCUCUCUCUCUCUCUCUCUCUCUCUCUCUCUCUCUCUCUCUCUCUCUCUCUCUCUCUCUCUCUCUCUCUCUCUCUCUCUCUCUCUCUCUCUCUCUCUCUCUGUGCGCGAGCGCACAAAUGCAUACUUACUGAAACAUCACAUAUACAUUCAGGUUGUAGUAAAUUUCUAAUGCAUAGUAAUUUCUAAAGCAUUAGUACUCUCAACAAAUUAUGAAACACGAUAACUAUAUUCAACAAAAGAAAUCUUGGCUAACAAAGUUAGGACAAAUGAUUAGUUCAGCCCAAUCAUGUGUUUGAAAUCCUAGCUUCGUCUCUGCAUAUAUAUUCUUAAUCUGGUAUAAAAUGGACAAGAAAGAAUAAAUUUUGUCAAAAUUAUACGUAGGAACAACACUGUAUUAUUAUAUAUACAUGUUCAUAUUCGACAGAAGACAAAAUACUUGUUGUCAAGAAAUAAGUGAUGUAGAAUGAGUUGUUAAAGAACACGAAUGAGGAUCUUCUUCGGAUUCUCUUUGUGAGGAUCCCAGAGAUCAUUUAAUCAUAUCCGUUUAUCGUAUAUCGUGCGGUCAUAAAUUAUUAUUAAAUUUUUAUUUAAAAUUGAAUAUAAACAGUACUUGACGAAAAUUAACUGCACGAUAUACGAUGAAUGGACGUGGUUGAAGGAUUUCCGGAAUACUCAUAAAGAGGAUCCUCAUUUAAAGAAUACAUAUAUAGAUAUGGGCAAGCUGGCAUGCAUAAAAUAAAAUAAAAAGAUUCUGCUCUUUUUGGUUGGAAAAUUGAUAAAUCAGAUUGUUAACUUGUAAAGUUAAUAUCAGUUAAUUACCUCUUGGUUAAUCAAAUAUUAGUAAAGAUUUUUUGUCCAAAAUGAUUAGUUAUACCAUUUCUUAUUUCCCACCAGCCACUGAGUAGUUAGGGUUGAGAGGUCGGGUAAUUUCAGAGCCCCCACUUAAUUAGUAAUUAGCUAGUUGGAUUGGAUAAUAACAACAAUAAUACUGCAGUGCAUGCCCAUCACAUGGUUACCAGCAAUAUGGGGGAGUCCAGUGAUGCAUUUUUCACGCAGCUAACACUGGCACAGAAAUAAACAAACAGGAAUCCGAUCCUCCUGCAUUACAUAUAUAUAUAUAUAUAUAUAUAUAUAUAUAUAUAUAUAUAUAUAUAAUGCAAUACGAAAUUUAUAACUCAAGUAGUUAAGAAUCAUUACUUUUCAUCCGAAAUCUUGUGUUUGAUUUCUCUGUGAUCUUUAAUUAGGAUGAGUUGGCCUUACUAGGAGGGAAAUGAAUGAACCUCUCUUGCCAUUUGGUGCCAACCGACCAACACGCAACUCCAUAGAUAAGUUCGUAUGAAUUGACAUAAAUGUUACAGCUAAAUAAUUAUUCACAAUAGGGUUCUAAUUUAUAAUUUAAUCAGAUCAACAUAUAUAUUUGUAAUAUAUGUAUGGAAAUAGUAUAAGCACAUCACAAUUAUUAUGGGUUCUACAAUCUGCUUAUAGUGGUCACAAUUCACAAUACAUUGAAAAAUAAUGCACUUCCCCUUUACCAAAUUACUCUGUUGGGGCGACUAGCUAUAAGAGCAACUCCAGCCUUGCUGGUUGCUCGGGGGACAGUGGAGAGGAAAGGGCCCGAGGCCCUGUGGACUGAGCUCCAGCCGUGUGGAGCCCGAGCGACGGUGGGAGCCCGAGCGAAGGGGGGGUGGGGAGUCGACGGGCCUGUGGCCCGAGGGCUUUGCAAUUUUUUAUUUUUUAUUUUGUGUCAGAGAGAGAGAGAGAGAGAGAGAGAGGGGGACCGGAGAUUUGUUUUGUGUGUGAGAGAGAGAGAGAGAGGGGGGGACCGGAGCUGGGCUUCCAUGGGUGCGGAAGGGAAGUGGGUCGUCGCGGGGGGGGGAGGGUGGGUCGUCGCGGGGGCAAGGGGUGGGGGGUGGGUCGUCGCGGCGGCCGGGGGGGGGGGAGGUAGCUGGGUUCUGGUUUUUUGCAGGGGGUUCUCGGGGGUAGGAGGAGAGGUGGAAGAAAUGGAUCUGGGUUCGGGUUUCUGUUUUUUAUUUUUAAUUUUUUUUUUAAUUUUUAAUUUUUUUUAAUUGGAUUAAUAUUAUAAUAUUUUUAAUGUAUAAAAAAUUAUUUAUUUUUACCAAAGAUUUUGAAAAGAUAACGACACAUGACACGAUAACAUUGGAUAAAAAUCUUAUCGAAAUCAUUCGCUAAAUAAUUGUUUUUUUUGAUAAAAUGACACGUGACGCAACGAGAACGAUUUAAGAAUUUUUAUCCGAAAUUACAAAUAAUUUUAUUUUGUAUUAUUUAAACAAACAAAAAAAACUAUUAUUUUAAUUGUCUAUUGCCAGGGGGAGGGCUCCAAGGGUGGAGAUGCAAAUGGCAAUUACUGUUCAUUUAUGGCAGUUACUAUUCAUUAAAGGCAGUUACUAUUCAAAAGGGUGGAUUCAAUAGUGGAUUGCCAGGGGGAAUGGCUCGAUGGGUGGAGUUGCUCUAAAGGAUCAUUGAAAGAUGUCGGUCCUUUUGUCUCUUUAAUUUUAUCCUAACAUAACUAUUAAAUGGAAAUUCCAACCAAAUUUACAUUCCAACAAAAUAAAAAUCAUGUUUAUAUUCUUUAAUUUUUACUUUUGUAAAUAAACAAUAUUAGUUAAGUUGGCUACACACUAGUGUGUUUUACUCCUUCCAUUUAAAUUCGAAUCCUCAACUCUUUAGUUUAGACAAAUUUUAUAUAUCGUUCAAAAAUUGUUUGGGCACGAUUUUGCAUGCACUCAGCCCAUAUACUUUAAGAUGUUAGAUGAGAGAAAUAUUAAGUAUCAAUAUUAGUUUCCAGAUAAAGGUUGAAUCAAUUGCAUAAUCACUCUAGGUUUAGACUUCAGAGUCCUAGUAGAAGACGACAAAACUUGGUGGCGAUAGAAUAUCGGCCUAGAAUAAUUCUGAGUAUAUUAAGAGAAUAUACUGACGAACUUGAAUAUUAUAAGCAUUUUACAACUCAGCAAACUUGCCAUCACGAAAUUCACCCUUAUAAAUACGCGAGCUUGCAACAUCGAAGGCCCUUUCAACUCAACAAACAACUCAAAAACUCUACACGAAAAUCCUUGCUCUAUGCGAAAACCUUCUCACAACCCUAAGAAAAAUACUAACUAUCGUAACCUUCAUGUCAAUGCAUCUUCAGUUUGGAUAAGUAAACAAUACUGGAGCCGUAGAACCAGACGAUUCAAGAGCAUGCACCUUCGGUUUGGAUAAGUAAACAAGACUGCUUCUUGUUAGUUAUCUAUCCAAGUCUCGGCCGACGAAGAGUUCUUAAUUCUUUCGCUUUUUUAAGGUUACUUCAUUAGCUUCCCAAUGAAGUAAGGUGCUACCAAUUCACUUUGUUCUGGGUCAUUUAUCGAACUUCACAAUGAAAAGUAACCUUGUCUUAAGGUUAGCAGAACCCUAGGUCGAGAGGUGUUUUUUUCUCAGCCGUAGUCGCUCAGGUGCAUAACUCAACAACGCAUUCGAUAUCACCAUUAUAUCUAUUCUACUCACCGACCGAGCUCGGUCAUGAGUUAGCACACUCACAUCCACAAGAAUGACGUGAUUAGCUUAAUAAUUACUUGGUUUACGCGCUAGUAAGCUUUGUAAUUUGUAGUGGUCAACAAAAGUAUAAUAAAUAAAAACAUGCAUGCGGUGGAAUGCUAGUAAUUCUGAUUUGCUUGAAUUACAAAGCUUCCAAAGAAUCCACCGAGUCAGUACUUUCUAAUAAAAGUUAAAAUGAUCAUGAAUGGAUGGGCAUAAUAAACUUCGAAUUACAAGAUGAAAAAUAAUGUUAACUACAAAAAAAUCCAAGUUUAAAGAAUCUUGGACUUCACUGAUAUCAUAUCAUGGUCACCUUUUGCUUUCUUUUUUUUUCUUACUGGCCGGUGACUUUUACGGAUUUUGCGAGAGAUUUUUAGUGUGUUGGGAACACAGCUUGAUACAUCAAAUGUAAUAAUAUAAUUAGUUGAAAUUAAAAAAAAAAUAAUCACUUAUAUUAUGACACUUGGUAUACCGAGCUCUGUUCUCGACACAUUGAAAAAUUUUAUGUACUUCGCCUUAUGAAUGUGAAUGAAUCAUGGAUAUGAAAAAUAAAUAAUUACCUUCCUCAAGCUCUUUCAAGUACGAAAUAUAGCUUAUUUGAUGCCUAAUCCAAGAUCCAAAAACUGGGUAUUUCAUACUUCAUACAUAGAUUGGUUUGAUUAUAUUUGCAAAUAACCAGAAAUAUAGCGCGUCAAUAUAGCACAAAUUACAUGCAUAAUCACUCAUCACGUGAUGAAUGCUAUACUCUCAUAGAAUAUGUUCCACACAAUGCAAAAACCUCUUUAAAAUCACUGAUGUGACAGUGAAAAUAAGAGCAAUUUGUGAUUAUAAUCCUUGUCUAAUAUCCAUUAGCUUUGUAAUACGUAAAUCACGGUAUGCAAUAAUAAUAGUACGUGAACAUUAUGAAUUAUAGAAUUUGACUGCAUUAAAAUUUAAUAUCCAAAAGUACUGAAUAGUACACAUAUAUUUUAUUUACAGAUGUGACUUGUUUGAGCCCGAUUCAUCAACAUAUUUUAGCUACAAAACGACAGUAAGCAAAUUUGGGUUUGGUCCAUUUAGGUCAUCUUCAAUCGAAGGAUUGUCAGAAGACUCGUUUUAGCUCACUGAUCUUUCAAGAAAUUAAUAUUUUAAUGAACAAUACAUGACCAUAUUUCUUACCAUCUCCAACCGAGGGGCCAGAGAGUCAUAGGCCAAACAUAGCCAUGUGACAAAAAACCAUCUCUAAUUGAGGGUCAAAUGGACCGUAGGGCUAAACAUAAUUUCUUAUUUAAAUUUAAAAACUACAACAACUUAAAUGUAAAAACUACAACAACUUAAAUUUAAAAACUACAACUUAAAUUUAAAGUCUACAAUCAUUAUCAUAUUCAUCAUCCGCUAUUGUAGAAGUAUAGUCGGAGGUAAACAACUGUCGUCGGGCCAUAAUUUCCUUCUUUUUCCUAUCAAAAUAUGCCUUACUCAUUAGAGUGUAAUCCGAAGUGUUCAUUUGCAUAUUCCUAUCGUCCAACUCUUUUUGUAUUUGUUUGGCCCGUUCUUCAUGCCUACAGUUACUUUCUUCCGCGGCAAUGGUAUUUGCUCUGUUAUGAAUCACAAAGAGGCCACCAUUUCCUGUUGAAAGGUGAUAUCAUCCUUUACCUUGCCCUUUUCUUUCAAUAUUCGGGCUUUGUUUCACCCCAUAGCCCUAGGUAUGGAACAUUCACCCGAAGACGGAUUUUCUACCCUUGUUUCUUGAAUGGUAGGAGAUCCAUCUUCAUCCCCAUCUACAGUUGAGGAUGCAGUUCCGAACACCAGCGUAGGACCUAUUCUAUGUUCCCAUCUAUAAGCCCUGCACUUGUUUGAGAAAUCCCCCUCACACUAUCAUCUGAGACCCAUUUAUAAGCCCUGCAAAGAGCUUCAUCUUCUUUUCGAGUUCAAGCCCUACCUUUCAUUGCAGAUGUGGCCAUUUGAAAAUUAUUGAAAAAAUUGAAGGAAAGAUUAUUGGAAGAGGUAAGAAAAUAUAAUGUGACGAAUUGAAAUAGAAUGAGGUGAGAUAGUGGGGAAUAGUGAAAAUUAUGUGAGAAAUUGUGUAGGAAUGACUUAGAUAUAUUUAUAGGGAAAAAAAAGGAAUUUAAAAAAAAAUUUAAUUUGGCCCAAAAAAGAGGAAUCAGGCCAACUGGUUGGCCCAAAUGAGCCAGCUAGCUAGCCCCGGGCCACACGCAUAAUGGCUUGCAAAUGGAAAGUGAAGGUCGUGACUCAGGAGGUAGCUACGGCUGAUGAUGAUGGAAAGGAAGUGAGGUUUCUUGGGAAAAAGCUCAUUCCCAAUUUCAUCAAAUUUUAGGCUCCAAUUGGAAAAUUCAACCUCUGAUCAAAUUGAAAUUUGAAAUUUAGGGCUUUGAUUGGGGGAAAUGGCGAUGCUUUUGGAGGAUAUUUUGAAGUCGGUGGAGCUCUGGUUAAAGCUGAUCAAGAAGCCUGAGCCUUACGUGGAUCGAAAUCUUGACCCCGUUCUGCUAGUUCCGAGCAUCGCCGGUUCGAUCUUGAAUGUCGUCGAUGAAAAGAGUGGUGCAGAAUUAAACAAAAGCUAAUUUGUGGCUUUUCAUUCUCGUGCAACUGAACCUGGAUAUGUCAAUUGUACCUUUUUAAAUGGAAUGUCAUUUGUUGACGGGUGGGAACAUAAUUUUUUUAUAUCAAAAUGGAGCAUGCACCAACUGGUAUGAGUCCAUUUCUAUGGGUUGUGGAAUUUGAAACAAAAAUGUAAUCUUUUUACGGGAUGAAGAAAGUUAUUUGUUAAAAGAGAGAAUGUUUUAAAAUUAAAACAAAAAAAUAACAUAAGAUGGUAGAAGUAUUUGAUAGUAAAGCAUUUCACAAACAUUUAUUUCUUCUUUGCAUUCAUUUUUUUCUUAUUGAGGUUUGUUGCAAUUUUCCAGCUUAUUGAGUACCCAUUAGUAUAUGAAUUGAUGAAUUGUUGUUUUUAAAUUUAAGUUGUCGUCUUUAAAUUUAAAUUGUUGUAGUUUUAAAUUAAAAUAAUAAAUUAAAUUUGGCCCUAUGACCCUUUGGCUCCUUCGGUUGGAUAUGAUUUUUUGUCACAAGGCUAUGUUUGGCCUAUGACUCUCUGGCCCCUCGGUUGGAGAUGGUAAGAAAUUUGAUCUGGUACUGUUCAUUCAAAUAUUAAUUUCUUGAAGGGCUAUAAAACUAAAAUGAGCUAUCUGACCCUCCUUCUGUUGGAGAUGGCCCUGCGACCUUGACAUUGGUAAAGCUAAGCAUCGCACACAGGCUUCCAAACAAAAACUUAAAAGGGAAACUCAGAUGUGAUCAUAUACAAACCAUCCCAACAAGGUCGUUGUGCGCGUCUGGUAGGCAUUCUCACUAGGCCGUAAUAUUUUGGGCCCCUUAUGAUUUAAUUUCACGUUCUUGCUUUAUUCUCAACCCAUAAACUAUAUGCCUUGCAUAGUGACUUGAGGUUUUUUGUCCCUUUCCAUCAGUUAUAUGUGAGUGAUCGGUGGUCGUUGAUAGACGUUUAGCGCAUGUAAUUGAUUGAUAGUCGUUAGUUAAUAUUUGUAAACUAUACAUUUUCAUUCUUUAAAAAAAAAAUUGAAAAAGAGAUCUAGUUGGUGGUGAAGUCACGACAGUCCACGCUUUAGGGGUUUCGAAAGUCUAAAAGUAUUUCAGCCUCACCUGACCACCAUCGUGUGAUUCACCAGCAGUAAAAAUCGAACUCAAGACAAACCAUGUGGAAUACAGGCUUGAAAUUUGCCUCAACUACCGGGCGACGUGUGGUGGUUCAUUAAACAAUACAUGUUGGUUCACGUGCAUACAAACGCUUGAGGAUUAUGCCUGUAUGCAUAUUAUUUAGAAAUAUUGUGUUUGAUCAAUAUGGAGCAUAAUAAACAUGAAAUUUUUUCUUUAUAACUGAGAUAUACCUUUUUGUAUAUUUGUGGUGACGUGAUAGAUUUCCUUGUCGUAAGCAUAUAAAGAAUAGAAAGCAACAUUGAGCAAAUCAUAAUUCAAUUUCCUGGUAAAUUUUAAUGAGUUAAUGCGUUCCACUAAGGUUGAUUUGUCCCUAAUCAUGAAAGUAUUAUUGUCCUCGUUCGAGCUCAACAGUUCAUUUCCAUUUUUGUGUGAAGUGGUUCAAGGUGGACGCUUGUGUGUUGAGGGACUUACAGCUAAGAGGUCACAUCUCAUGUAAUGUCUUACUCUUCCUCUGGUUAUAUAUGUUCAUCUUUUAUCAUAAUUGGACGGUUAUUGGUUAAUCAUUUAAUCUAAGCCACUAGGUUACCUCAUUGUGACGGUAAGUAGGAGUAGGCUAGAUCCAUGGUUCGUAAUCAAUUUAACAAAAUAAAUCCUUUUCAAUACCUUCAUAUCUUAUUAUAAGCCUUUAAAACUCAAGCGGGUUUGAAUGCCAAUCAAUUCCUAAUCCAACUUUCAACAAUUUGAACUCGAGUAGGGUUUGGAUUUAUGCAGGUUCUUUUGAGCUCAAGUUUCAAUUACAUUUGAGCUUAUUUGGGUUGUCAAACUUUAUCAAGUUCAAACUUGUAACACUUUUUAGACAGAUUUUUCAUAAUUUGAACCAAAAUAUUGCUAGUACUAGUUAAAUUCAAUUUCACAAUGCAACAUUUACACAAAAGUUUAAAUCAAAUAGCAUCAAAACCAUUUUCAAAGUACCAGCCAUGCAAUGUUAGAAUUAAAUUACAAAACAAUACCCAAGCUUCAACACAAUAAAAUGUUAAUGAAACACUUAUGUUCAUUGUUGAAAUGAAAAAACCACCAACAAACUCCAAGUAAUGGCAUCCCAAAAUUAGGUCAGUAAGCGAAUUUAGAUUAAUAGUCGGGUUAGAUUUGGGUUGACAUGGCAGACAAGAUACCGACCCAAAUCAUUACAACUCAAGCCAAUAAAUAAUCCGGACGAGGUCGUGUGGAGUUAGAGCUCAGUCCUACCGGCCGAACCAGAUUUAAAAUCAACUAAACAUGAAGGGAAUGAGAUAUGACCCAACCCAAAUUAUACCUGUAAAAUGACCUUCGUAUAGAGGCCUUUCAAAAUUGGGCCCAUGUAAAAGGUAGCAACGGUUAGAUUGAGGAAAACCAGAGGAAAACCAGGCCGAGUCGAGGUACAUAACUUAGGUAUCUACGAAAUAACUUGGACAAAAAUGACGUGCCCGCAACAUAAGGCCUAAUUCAUGCGCUCUUCUUCCAAUAGAAAUGCCUUGACUUUGUUGGUUACCCACUGACUUGCAUGAAACCACAUGCCUUCAAGGGGCUAUCAUUCUCACAGUCUUACUUAAUAUCCCCACAAUAUGGUAUUUCUUUCAUUUGUAAGUGAGAUGCUUUAAAUUCAAUUCUUGUCAAAAACGAAUUUGAACCACAUUAUUUUAGCUCAUUGUGAGGCUUAACCCAAUCUCCCACUUUGUUAGCAUAGAUAAUAUCAUUUGUUCAAAAAACAAAAAUCCCGACAACUAAAGAUACUUAUAUUGACGAACGGUGAAUUAAAAUAUCACAAUUUAGAUAAACUUAAAAUUUGACUACAUAAAUAUUGUUGUUUAACAAACAUAUAUUUGAUAAGAGAAUAUUUAUGUCUGAAUAAAUACCUCACACAAACCAUGUUCAAACGCGGAUUCAAAAUCAAAUGGGAAGAGAAGGGAAGUGUGGGUUCCGUUGAGACAAAGACAAAGGACCCUUUAUCACAUUCAAAUUAGGAGUCCAAGUCCAACCGUUACUAUUUCUUAAAAACGCAUUUCUUGCCUUUUGCUUUCAAAGAUUUCCAAAUCCAUGAACCUUCUCUGAAUCAGUCGACCACGCCAAAACCGAACGACUGCAUCAAACAACAAUUUAAAUAUUUAUUAAAAAAAAAAAGAACACUUCUUCAUAAUAUAAUAUACAGCUUUCUACUAAGCUGUAUUUACAUUACAUAAUUGAUUAUCCAACUCUCUCUCUCUCUCUCUCUCUCUCUCUCUCUCUCUCUCUCUCUCUACGCGUUUGAAAAAAGCACACGCAGAAACUCACAUAUAUAAACACUCUCUCUCUCUUCCUCCAAAUUCAAAAACCCAAACUUUCAAGUCCCCCAAAAGAACCCAGAAGCCAUGGACUCGAGCUCCAGGAACUGGCCUCCGAUCUUGGCCCUCAAUCUUCUGCUUAUUUUCAUGAUCCUCCCCUUCUCACUCGCCCAAUCCACCGCCCAAGCUCCGCCGCCGGCCUCCGACUCCUGCAACGGCGUCUUCCUGUCGUACGCCUACACCACCGGAGCCCAGCUCCCGCCCGAGGUCAAAGACCCGUCCCAGCAGCCCUACCGGUUCGAGUCGGUGCUCACGGUGCUCAACAACGGGCUCGACGAUCUCAAGUCGUGGAGGGUGUUUGUGGGGUUUACUAACAAUGAGUACUUGGUCUCUGCCUCCAAUGCCGUUUUGGCCGACGGGAGUAGCAUUCCUGGGAGUGUGGGAAACGGCACCGUUUUUGCUGGGUAUCCGAUGACCGAUCUGAAAACGGCGGUUAAGACGGCGGGGGACUUGACCCAGAUGC
rnacentral:lncRNA from 1 species